rnacentral:rRNA from 1 species
UACAGAGGUCUCAAGCGUUGUUCGGAUGCAUUGGGCGUAAAGGGUGCGUAGGUGGCGCCGUAAGUCAGGUGUGAAAUUUCGGAGCUUAACUCCGAAACUGCAUUUGAUACUGCGGUGCUUGAGGACUGGAGAGGAGACUGGAAUUUACGGUGUAGCAGUGAAAUGCGUAGAGAUCGUAAGGAAGACCAGUGGCGAAGGCGGGUCUCUGGACAGUUCCUGACACUGAGGCACGAAGGCCAGGGGAGCAAACGGG